AACGCGAAGAACCUUACCUGGGUUUGACAUCUCUGGACAACCGUAGAGAUACGGCUUUCGUAGCAAUACGACCAGAAGACAGGUGCUGCAUGGCUGUCGUCAGCUCGUGUGGUGACAUGUUGGGUUAAGUCCCGCAACGAGCGCAACCCUUGUCCUGUGUUGCCAUGCCGAAAGGCGGAACUCGCAGGAGACCGCCAGCGAUAAGCUGGAGGAAGGUGGGGAUGACGUCAAGUCCUCAUGGCCUUUAUGUCCAGGGCUACACACGUGCUACAAUGGCCGGUACAAUGCGCCGCUAAGUCGCAAGACGGAGCCAAUCGCAAAAAACCGGUCUCAGUUCGGAUUGCAGGCUGCAACUCGCCUGCAUGAAGCUGGAAUCGCUAGUAAUGGCAGAUCAGAACGCUGUCGUGAAUACGUUCCCGGGCCUUGUACACACCGAGACUA
rnacentral:rRNA from 1 species